rnacentral:piRNA from 1 species
UUUCAGAGUAAAGAUUUGGUCGACUGU